GAAACAUUACUAUGACCCAAGAGAGAUGAAACAGCUGGCAGAGAUGACAGGACUGACCUACAAACAGGUAAAAACUUGGUUUCAAAACAGACGGAGUAAGUUUAGGAGGAGUUCACAUCCUCAGCAUGUGAAUCAGGGCGUCCCACUUCAUUUUCAGGGAGAGGGACAGCCCCCACUCAGGGAGUCGUACACUCAGCACCUAGAGAUGAAGUUAAUC